rnacentral:lncRNA from 1 species
GUAGGUGUGUAAAUGCCUCAGUGCACAAAUAACGAGACUCUGAGAAGGAAAGGCUAGGCGGCCUGCAACUAAGUUUCUUCUCCAGGAGAAGCAGCUGACAGUAGUUCUUUUUGCCCCCUCCGCCUGCUGCUUUGGGAGGGCGGCAGCGACUGUGGGUCCUACCAGGGACCUCCAGACUCUCCGACAUAGGUGCUCAUGGUUCCUCUCAAGCUUCAGGGGACACGCGGGGCCGAAGCACACAGUAGGCGGCUCAGAGACACGCCGCCUCGCCUGAGCCAAAAGCGGACCCGGCCCCACGGUGGAGACCUGGCACCUUUGGACCCCGGCGCACUCGCGGUCCAGGAAGACCAAGCCCG